rnacentral:rRNA from 1 species
GUGAGGAAUAUUGGACAAUGGGCGCAAGCCUGAUCCAGCCAUGCCGCGUGCAGGAAGACGCAUCUAUGGUGUGUAAACUGCUUUUGUACGGGAAGAAACACUCCCUCGUGAGGGAGCUUGACGGUACCGUAAGAAUAAGGAUCGGCUAACUCCGUGCCAGCAGCCGCGGUAAUACGGAGGAUCCAAGCGUUAUCCGGAAUCAUUGGGUUUAAAGGGUCCGUAGGCGGUUUAAUAAGUCAGUGGUGAAAGCCCAUCGCUCAACGAUGGAACGGCCAUUGAUACUGUUAGACUUGAAUUACAAGGAAGUAACUAGAAUAUGUAGCGUAGCGGUGAAAUGCUUAGAUAUUACAUGGAAUACCAAUUGCGAAGGCAGGUUACUACUUGUGGAUUGACGCUGAUGGACGAAAGCGUGGGGAGCGAACAGGAUUAGAAACCCCGGUAGUCC